GAAAACAGCUAUUGCUUAUCAGAGGAGUUAGCGUUGUUUAUUUCAGGGCUUUGAGAGUUAACCUCUUUGUCUACCUAUAAGUUUUCAGGCUCUGAACAUUGCAGGUGAAGCUCCUGGUGAAACAGAGUGGAUUCAGCUGGGCUUUGCCAACCAGCUGCAGUUGGCUAGCAGGUUGAAGUGUUUGAAGAGCGUGCCUCAGCUCCCUCUGUGGACGCUGCACGAGUGAGCCCUCAGCUUUGCAGUUCUGCACCAGUUUCACUCCUACACGCAAUGUUGGAAAGGCCAUAAUACACAGUCAGUGUUGCUUUCUUUUCAGACUGCUUUGCUUUGCUGAGGCUUCCUUUCUCUAGUCCCCAGGUUGUGCUCCUUUUUGGACUACAGUUAUUUUGUUUUUGUGGAAUAUCUUUGGCUGUGGGACCUUCCUGAGUGACAUGUCCAGGAUUUAGUGUCUGGUGUCCUGGAGUGUUGUUCCAGAAUACAGGUGCAAGCCAAGUGAUCUUCAUCUCUAAGAUGCUCUGAAUGUGUGCGUGACUUGUCCCAUGUCAGCAAGGCACAGGCUGGUGUCCAGGAAUCUCAGCUGCCAGGUGGAUGCAUCUUCCUCUCUACCCUGUCCUGCACUUUUUUCUGCCAGGUGUGUUUUUUUUUGGUGGUGGUGGUGGGGGGUCUAUGUUAAUAACUGCUCAUUUAGACUUCAUGGAGAACAAAAUUUGGACAUAGAUGCGAUGGC
rnacentral:lncRNA from 1 species